UGAUGACUGCUGUUCCCUGUGUGGCCAGCAGAGGACCGUCUCAUUGCUGGAGCAUCAUGGUCCACUGGAAACACGCCAUCAUAAGAGCCUAACCUAACCUCUAGUUUUUCAGCUUUUGAAGAACACAACAAACAAGCUGAAGAUAUUUUUUUGUGGUAAUCAACAUUAUGACACAAAUGCUGUCGAUUGAACCCAAAAUAACAUGACAGAGAUUUUGAUGUUUUAAUGAUUAUCAGGACAAGAUUAUCAUGUCCAUCAUUUGACCUUUUGUCAGAUCUCGGUGCUGCAAGAUCUCAAGUGCUGCAAAUCUUUAUUAGUGAAUGUAAAAAAACAUAUCAAAAGAAAAAAUGCUGAAGUAAAUUGAGUUUUUAGGAUAUCUGUUAGAACAGAUUUGAACUCAAAGCGCUAUAGGAUGUUGAUCUCCUGGAGCAGCAAAGGGUCCUAAAACAUGCAGAAGCGGCCCUGGAGUAGGGGCAGAACGUCCUUAAUCUGGAACAUGCAGAUAAAAGUACCUUGAAGUGAAGGUUUGCUUGUCGGAGCCUUAUCUUGUUACAAAUUUAUUCAAAUAAGUGGUCAGUCCACUAUGUCUGUCUAGGAUGGAGACUCAGAACAAGGUUGUAUCUGUUGUUCUCUCACUGGAUGAAGACUCUGAAUGUACAAUAUAUGUUUUCUCACAUUUUGAAGGCAGAUCAACAUUUACGAAGAAAAACGAUGUGCAGUUACUAUAACUGUAAUAAAACACAGAUCAGUUAGCUCCUCACUAUCUGAGAUCGUUCGCCGGUUUAAGUGAAACAGAACGCAUCACAUUACACGUCACAUCAUAAUGUCAUGUGUCUUUAUGGGAUCUGUACAGGAUGUGUGUGAAUGCACAAUCACUCGCAGUGUGAAUGAACCAUAAUUAAAUGAUCCCGGACAAAUCAUGGGACACAUCUGCUGUGUAUUUUCCGGAAUUUCUUUGUGAAAGAGGAUCUAGAGAGAAAACACGCUGUGGCAUUGAGAAUAUUCUUCUGAAUAAGCAUGAGAUGGGUUUGUUGGAGUUUGUAUAAGUUUUAAGGUUUGAAAUCCAUUCUGACUAGAUUUGGAUAGGUCUCUGUGAUCUUUCUGUUUCACCCGCCGCUGCUGCACCUGGAGAUUCCUAAGGAAUAUUUGUGCUGGUCACAGGCCAAACUGGCCAGGACUGAGUGAAGAGUUCUUCUUCUUCCCCUCUGAGGUGUCUGCAUGUUGUCCUUGCAUCUUUAUCUGAGGCGAUGUUAGUCCACCAAGAUCCAAUCACAGUGAUGCAAACCUUUGUCCACUGCUGUGGUGAGAGAGACGGGCACUGAGAGGCAACUUGGUAAAGGCAAGUUCACACCAAAGAUAUAAAAGCUGAAACUUCCAAAAGAAAAUGAUCUGCCACGUCCUAACACCAUCUCACUGGAUACAUCAAAGUGGACUUUUUAUAUCUACAUGUAGAGCAUCAGAAAUAGAAGGUGGCAUCUGUUUACUGUGGUCAAGGAGUCACUGAUUAUAAUGGGUCAUGUGACGUGCCGUUCUCAUCUGGUGUAGUAGUGUUAGCUGCCAGUAUACACGGUGUAUCAUGUCCAGCUGCUGAACUUCUCAUCCAAACAACAGAUCGCGUUCAGACACCAUAAAGAAUUAUAUGUUUUUUUUUCUUGGGCUUGUGUGGAAAAAUCAACAUGAAGGCUUUAAGAAUGAUUGUCUGUGGUUGUUUUGAAUGCCAGAUUUCUAUUUUUUUUAAGAGUUUAUUUGAAACUCAUAAAUAUAAUUUAUAUAUUAUAUAUUUAUAUUUUUUUAACAAAUAUAACAAUUUAUAUUAUUAUUUUUUUCCUCCUUGGUAAACUAAUGAUAUUUUAAGUCCAGUCAAAUCAAAUGUCAUUUAGUUACAUGUUUUUAACCUUAUAUAGUAGUUAAUGUAAUAUACACCCCCAUUCAAAAGGAGAUCAGUAAGAUUUUUUUAAUGGUAUGAUAGAAACCUUUUCUGCACAGCGGCAUUUAUUUGAUCAAAAUACCAUAAAAAAUAGUAUCACAUAAUUUCACUAUAUUAUUGUCCAGCAAUUGUAAAAGUCUCUAUAUAAAUAAAUGUGGCCUGAUUUGAUUUAAU